CUCACAUGAGGAAAAGCUGAAAGAUGGUUUCGGCUAUCACUUACAGAUGGGCCCGCGGCGCAUUAGCUAGUUGGUGAGGUAACGGCUCACCAAGGCCACGAUGCGUAGCCGACCUGAGAGGGUGAUCGGCCACACUGGGACUGAGACACGGCCCAGACUCCUACGGGAGGCAGCAGUAGGGAAUCUUCCGCAAUGGACGAAAGUCUGACGGAGCACGCCGCGUGAGUGAUGAAGGCUUCGGAUCGUAAACUCUGUUGUCAGGGAAGAACAAGUACCGGAGUAACUGCCGGUACCUUGACGGUACCUGACCAGAAAGCCACGGCUAACUACGUGCCAGCAGCCGCGGUAAUACGUAGGUGGCAAGCGUUGUCCGGAAUUAUUGGGCGUAAAGCGCGCGCAGGCGGUUCCUUAAGUCUGAUGUGAAAGCCCCCGGCUCAACCGGGGAGGGUCAUUGGAAACUGGGGAACUUGAGUGCAGAAGAGAAGAGUGGAAUUCCACGUGUAGCGGUGAAAUGCGUAGAGAUGUGGAGGAACACCAGUGGCGAAGGCGACUCUUUGGUCUGUAACUGACGCUGAGGCGCGAAAGCGUGGGGAGCAAACAGGAUUAGAUACCUGGUAGUCCACGCCGUAAACGAUGAGUGCUAAGUGUUAGAGGUUUCCGCC
rnacentral:rRNA from 1 species